rnacentral:rRNA from 1 species
CAGUCGCCGCGGGAAUACGUAGGGUGCGAGCGUUAAUCGGAAUUACUGGGCGUAAAGCGUGCGCAGGCGGUUCGUUAAGACAGAUGUGAAAUCCCCGGGCUUAACCUGGGAACUGCAUUUGUGACUGACGGGCUAGAGUAUGGCAGAGGGGGAUGGAAUUCAGCGUGUAGCAGUGAAAUGCGUAGAUAUGCGGAGGAACACCGAUGGCGAAGGCAAUCCCCUGGGCCUGUACUGACGCUCAUGCACGAAAGCGUGGGGAGCAAACAGGAUUAGAUACCCCCGUAGUCCCUGUCUCUUAUAC